CAUCGUUAGCUUACCGGGUUCUAUAAAUGAAGAUCAAGAAAAAUCCCAUCGCCCACAAACCCUCCGUUCAUUAUCGGCUCUGUAUUCAUCUACAAGCAGUCAACGCAACAUCUCCAAAAAACCACCUGAUCCACUCUCUGAAUUCUCCGAAAAAUCCCUUGAGCUGACGGAAUUUUGAAGAACCAUGGAUUUAUUAUUUUGUGCUUACGCUUCAAAACGAAGCAAAGUAGUUGAUCUGUUUUAGUUCAUACAGUAUUAAAUUUAAAUCGUAAAAUGGGAGUAUUUGAAUGUUGGCUUUUAUGUUGAAACGUGGGUAGGUGAUGAAUUGAAAAUAAAUAUGGGAUUAAUGGUAGGUGAAACUGGGAUUUUGUUUUACUUGCUUUGGUGAUUAAAUUUCCAACCAUCUAUUACCCUGGUGAUUUUACUAGAACUAUCUUAUUAUUUGUAUUGGAAUUUUGGGUUUGCUUGUAUCUGCAAAAAGUUGGGCUGGUUUGAGUGCCUGACGUUCUCGAGGUGAUUUGAUCAACGACAAAAAGAAAAAAAAGAACAGAAAAGAAAAGAUGGUCAUUACAGGGUAGAAAAAGGGGCAGAAGCUUUUUGUCUGAAUCAAGUUAGGAAUGAUGAGAUAAUUGAAUUUGAGGAAACUGUGGAGCUACGGUAUUAAUGGUUUCGAUCAUAGCUGGGUCUCUACAUCAUUUUAUAGUUUUCACCUUGGUCUUGUUUUGUUCUUCGCCUUUUGUCAAUCUUAUUUGCACUUUGUUAUGUAUAUUGAUGCAGCUUUUAGUUUAUACCAGGAUGGUUGAGAAUUGGCUUCCUUUUGUUGCUGGAUGAAGAAAUCUCUUAGGCAUGUGCAGUGCGCCAUUCAUUAUCUGUAGAAAUGGUCAAUGCUAUUACUUUAGUGCAGUUGCUUUCAGCUACAAGUUGCUACAAUAUAUGUCAGACUGAAGUUCUUUGAGCAACGUAGGAGUUUUUUCUUGUUUCUUAAACUGGAACUUUCUGCAGUUUUGCUUGUUUGUGACCUACCUCUAUGUAGUUUGCAUACUGUAUUUCUGGGGGUGUUUCUGUCGCUGGCUUUUUGCCUCAUUUAAGCUUUUUGAUGGUAUCAA